rnacentral:rRNA from 1 species
UACGAAGGGGGCUAGCGUUGCUCGGAAUCACUGGGCGUAAAGCGCACAUAGGCGGCUUUCUAAGUCAGGGGUGAAAUCCUGGAGCUCAACUCCAGAACUGCCUUUGAUACUGGUAGCCUAGAGAUCGGAAGAGGUGAGUGGAAUUCCCAGUGUAGAGGUGAAAUUCGUAGAUAUUGGGAAGAACACCAGUGGCGAAGGCGGCUCACUGGUCCGAUACUGACGCUGAGGUGCGAAAGCGUGGGGAGCAAACAGG